rnacentral:rRNA from 1 species
AUUGAACGCUGGCGGCAGGCUUAACACAUGCAAGUCGAGCGGUAACAGAGAGAAGCUUGCUUUUCUGCUGACGAGCGGCGGACGGGUGAGUAAUGCCUAGGAAUCUGCCUAGUAGUGGGGGAUAACUUGCCGAAAGGUAAGCUAAUACCGCAUACGUCCUACGGGAGAAAGGAGGGGACCUUCGGGCCUUUCGCUAUUAGAUGAGCCUAGGUCGGAUUAGUUAGUUGGUGAGGUAAUGGCUCACCAAGACCGCGAUCCGUAACUGGUCGGAGGGGAUGAUCAGUCACACUGGAACUGAGACACGGUCAAGACUCCUACGGGAGGCAGCAGUGGGGAAUAUUGGACAAUGGGGGGAACCCUGAUCCAGCCAUGCCGCGUGUGUGAAGAAGGUCUUAGGAUUGUAAAGCACUUUAAGUUGGGAGGAAGAGCAGUUAACUAAUAUUUGACUGUUUUGACGUUACCGACAGAAUAAGCACCGGCUAACUUCGUGCCAGCCGCCGCCGUAACAC